rfam:Alicyclobacillus ferrooxydans strain TC-34 contig_3, whole genome shotgun sequence.
AGAAAACCCACGCCCGGGUACGCGUGGGUUCUGCCGUUUGGUGAGUCGACGACUGUCAGCUCACCAAACGAUUCUGGGAGAGGAGAAACCGGAGGAAGCGCUUAUGGGGAACUAAGCCUUCACCCGCGG